AGUGAACGCUGGCGGCGUGCCUAAUACAUGCAAGUCGAACGGAGAUUCAGUAGCUUGCUAUUUAAUCUUAGUGGCGCACGGGUGAGUAAUAUAUAGCUAACUUGCCCAUUACUAGGGGACAACAGUUGGAAACGACUGCUAAUACCUUAUACUCCGUAUCUAUAUAAGUAGACACGGGAAAGUUUUUCGGUAAUGGAUAGGGCUAUAUCGUAUCAGCUAGUUGGUAAGGUAAUGGCUUACCAAGGCUAUGACGCGUAACUGGUCUGAGAGGAUGAUCAGUCACACUGGAACUGAGACACGGUCCAGACUCCUACGGGAGGCAGCAGUAGGGAAUAUUGCUCAAUGGGGGAAACCCUGAAGCAGCAACGCCGCGUGGAGGAUGACACUUUUCGGAGCGUACACUCCUUUUCUUGGGAAAGAAUUAUGACGGUACCCAAGGAAUAAGCACCGGCUAACUCCGUG
rnacentral:rRNA from 1 species